AUUGAACGCUGGCGGCAGGCUUAACACAUGCAAGUCGAGCGGGGUGAUGGUGCUUGCACUAUCACUUAGCGGCGGACGGGUGAGUAAUGCUUAGGAAUCUGCCUAUUAGUGGGGGACAACAUCUCGAAAGGGAUGCUAAUACCGCAUACGUCCUACGGGAGAAAGCAGGGGAUCACUUGUGACCUUGCGCUAAUAGAUGAGCCUAAGUCGGAUUAGCUAGUUGGUGGGGUAAAGGCCUACCAAGGCGACGAUCUGUAGCGGGGCUGAGAGGAGGAUCCGCCACACUGGGACUGAGACACGGCCCAGACUCCUACGGGAGGCAGCAGUGGGGAAUAUUGGACAAUGGGGGGAACCCUGAUCCAGCCAUGCCGCGUGUGUGAAGAAGGCCUUAUGGUUGUAAAGCACUUUAAGCGAGGAGGAGGCUCUUUUGGUUAAUACCCAAGAUGAGUGGACGUUACUCGCAGAAUAAGCACCGGCUAACUCUGUGCCAGCAGCCGCGGUAA
rnacentral:rRNA from 1 species